CCAAAUCCAUAAUUGAACAUUGUAUUGAUUAAGUCUAAGGAUGACUUAGUUGAAAAAAUUUUGGUUGAUUUCCUAUACAAAAUCAAUUGGAUUGUUUGUGAGCUCGCUAAACAAUUGGUUGGAUUGAUUGUGAGUCCAGUUAAAAUAAUCAUGCUAUAAUUAAGAGGAUUAUAGUGGAAUCCUAAGUAGGAAGACUUGAAAAAUGGACGUAGACGCUGGACUUGGCACUGAACCACUAUAAAUUUAUGGUAUUUGUAUUGUUUGUGCUUGCUUUUAUCUUGUACAUUAAUUUAUCACUUAUUUUACUAUGCAUAUUUGUUGCUUCCACCGUAUACUUAGUUUCUUUAAUUGUGCACAUACUUGUUAUAAGAUUGUAUCAUCUCACCACACUACACAUACUCUGAAAUUUGUGCACAAUAAGUUGUAAAAGUUUUUAAAAAAUCCAAUUGACCCCCUAUCUUGGAUUGCUAUCUCUGGACAACAAUUGAUAUCAAAGUAGGUGCUCUUUUAUUUUUCUUCAGACUAAAUCAUUUAGACCUCAAAAUCAAUGACAACUCUUGGAAUAUUUUUUUGAUGAAGAGCACUCUCUU
rnacentral:lncRNA from 1 species